rnacentral:rRNA from 1 species
UAUUGGAGGCAUUGCCUGCCCAGUGACUAAAGUUAAACGGCCGCGGUAUCCUGACCGUGCAAAGGUAGCAUAAUCACUUGUUCCUUAAUUAGGGACUAGAAUGAAUGGCUAAACGAGGGUUCAACUGUCUCUUACUUUCAAUCAGUGAAAUUGACCUUCCAGUGAAGAGGCUGGAAUCUCCCAAUAAGACGAGAAGACCCUAUGGAGCUUUAAUUUACUAGUUCAACUUAUAUAAAAACAACCUAAUGGGCUAAAACAAAAUAAAUAUGAACUAAAAAAUUUCGGUUGGGGUGACCUCGGAGAAUAAAAAAUCCUCCGAAUGAUUUUAACCUAGACUCACAAGUCAAAGUAAUACUAAUAUCUUAUUGACCCAAUUAUUGAUCAACGGACCAAGUUACCCUAGGGAUAACAGCGCAAUCCUAUUUAAGAGUUCAUAUCGACAAUUAGGGUUUACGACCUCGAUGUUGGAUCAGGACAUCCCAAUGGUGCAGAAGCUAUUAAUGGUUCGUUUGUUCAACGAUUAAAGUCCUACGUGAUC